rnacentral:rRNA from 1 species
CCUACGGGAGGCAGCAGUAGGGAAUAUUGCUCAAUGGGGGAAACCCUGAAGCAGCAACGCCGCGUGGAGGAUGAAGGUUUUCGGAUUGUAAACUCCUUUUGUUAGAGAAGAUAAUGACGGUAUCUAACGAAUAAGCACCGGCUAACUCCGUGCCAGCAGCCGCGGUAAUACGGAGGGUGCAAGCGUUACUCGGAAUCACUGGGCGUAAAGAGCGCGUAGGCGGGAUAGCAAGUCAGAUGUGAAAUCCUAGGGCUUAACCCUAGAACUGCAUUUGAAACUGUUAUUCUAGAGUAUGGGAGAGGUAGGUGGAAUUCGUGGUGUAGGGGUAAAAUCCGUAGAGAUCAAGAGGAACACUCAUUGCGAAGGCGACCUGCUAGAACAUAACUGACGCUGAUGCGCGAAAGCGUGGGGAGCAAACAGGAUUAGAUACCCCAGUAGUC